rfam:Triticum aestivum genome assembly, contig: Triticum_aestivum_CS42_TGACv1_scaffold_488928_6AS
GGAGAGAUGGUUGAGUGGUUCAAGGCGUAGCAUUGGAACUGCUAUUUAGGCUUUUGUUUACUGACGGUUCGAAUCCCUCUCUUUCCG